CGCACUCGCGGACCUGCUCGCCGAUGCACUGCACAGGAGAGACCCUGACAGUGCCCGAGCCUCUCUGCCUGUGAUCGCUGCCUGGCGUCUCCUCCGCUCCGCUGGAUGUUUGCGCAGAGGACACCUGCCGCCUCCGGUCACUGAACCGAUCUCUCCACCGACCCCCCCGCGGCACAAUCCAGCGCCUUUCCGCCUUUUUUAACUUUCGCAACGUGUGACGUGUCAAUCUUUCGUCUAUUGUUUCGUGAACCUAUUCCAAGACCAUGGUCCUGUCGGAUAAGAAGACCCUGUAAAUCCAGGCGUUUGACUUCCAAUUCCGGGCUUGAUGGAACGUUUAUUUGUGACAGAUCGGGAAAGUUGCGCUGCGCAAGGGAGCAUGGGCGCAAACUUUGAAAGCUUUUUAUAAUAAAGAGACAGUUUUUUUAGAAUGAAGGCAGGUGAGUCAACCCCAGCGUGAGAGGCGCACAGAGCUCCGGGGGCACCGUAGGUAUUGUCAAGGAAAAAAGCACGAAGGAAGUCGUGAUCUGUGCGGCGGAUUGCGCCACGGAGGACGGAGGAAACGCUCCGAUGAGACAUCAUGGGUCCAUUGCUGUGUGAUGGACGACUGACACACCUCCUCUUUCCUCUCCUCCUCCUCCUGCGGGCUCCCUUAUUGUUCAGCUUUGUUGAGCGCACGUGCCCAAAUAGCUGCCGAUGUGAAGGGAAAACUGUCCAUUGUGAUUCCGCUGGAUUCUUAGAUGUCCCAGAAAAUGUCACAAUAGGCUGCCAAGGCCUCUCCCUGCGCUACAAUGAACUUCACUCCCUGCUACCAUACCAGUUUGCUCACCUUGGCCAGCUUCUUUGGAUAUACUUGGACCACAAUCAGAUUUCAACAGUUGACAGCCGGGCGUUCCAGGGAGUCCGCAGGCUUAAAGAGCUAAUACUGAGCUCCAACAGGAUUAAAACCCUGCACAAUUCAACAUUUCAUGGAAUCCCCAAUCUCCGCAGUCUGGACUUGUCCUACAAUAAAUUGGAAAACCUGCAGCCAGGUCAAUUCCAUGGCUUACGAAAACUACAAAACCUUCAUCUUCGUUCAAAUGGGCUCUCCAACAUCCCUAUUCGAGCGUUCUUGGAGUGCAGAAGCUUGGAGUUUUUAGAUUUGGGCUACAAUCGGAUCAAAGCUCUUACCCGCACUACUUUUUUGGGACUACAGAAGCUGAUGGAGUUGCAUCUGGAACACAACCAGUUCUCCCGAAUCAACUUUUUUCUGUUUCCACGGUUAGCAAAUCUGAGAUCACUCUACCUGCAGUGGAACCGCAUUAAGGUGGUCAACCAGGGCCUCCCAUGGACGUGGUAUACACUUCAAAAACUCGACUUGUCCGGGAAUGAAAUCCAGGCCCUGGAUCCAGCUGUGUUUCACUGCUUGCCUAAUCUUCAAGUUCUCAACCUGGAAUCCAACAAAUUGUCCAAUGUGUCUCAGGAGGCGGUGUCAGCAUGGAUCUCACUGACCUCCAUCAGCCUUGCUGGAAACAUGUGGGAUUGUGGAACUGGCAUAUGCCCUCUAGUUGCAUGGUUGAGGCAUUUUCGGGGUACUAAAGACACCACCAUGAUAUGCAGCAGCCCAAAGUUUCUGCAGGGAGAAAAAAUUAUGGACGCCACAAGGGACCAUGGUGUUUGUGAGGAAACUGAUUAUGUUCUGACUGAAACCCCAUCUCCUAUGUCAGAGCUCAUUUCUGAAGCCACUGGUGAACCAACCUUUGCCCCUACUAGCGGUUCUCCACCAUUACCACCAACCCACAACUAUGGUCCUCUCCCUCCAUACAGACCUCGACCUAUUCCUCACCCUACCUUUCCAGGUCAUUUGAGCAAAGAUCCAAGAGACUCAGUUGCUCGCACUAGACCCACUCACAUAGCACCCCCAGAGAUAGAGCACAUGACUCUGCACAAAGUGGUGGUGGGCAGCGUUGCACUCUUCUUCAGCAUGUCCCUUAUCUUGACAAUUGUCUAUGUGAUGUGGCGGCGCUAUCCAGGUGCAACAAGGUUGCUGCAGCAGCGAUCCAUGGUGGGACGGAAGCAUCGCAGAAAGAGUCCAGAGCCAGAGCAGAACCUGAGCACCCAGCUCCAAGAGUAUUACAUGAGCUACAACCCUGCUGCCACACCAGAGGCAUUGGAGGUGCUUGGCAAUGGCACAGGUUCCUGCACUUGCACAAUUUCUGGCUCCAGGGAGUGUGAGGUAUGAUCCAUCGCAUCAGCCUAAAAUAAAAACUCAAAAUCAAAACACAAAGACCCAGCAGAGAGCAGAAUGAGUACACGUGUCCACGCCCCUUACCUGGUGCCUGGCUGGGAGAUAUGCCUACCAUCCAUUAACCCCCAAAAAAGGGAACUGCUUUCGGAUUGGGGAUCCAACAAACCAACACUGAAACAGAGACGCAGGAGAAAAACGGAUCCAGCCAUCAUAAUUCACAUUCAAGGAUGCAUUUCAAACGUUGCUAACAAGGGGAACCACUUGCCGAGACAAAGAGGAGAUAAUACUGUCUUUUCAUUUUUCUUAAGAUUUUAUAAAAGUCUUGUUUUUGGCCUGUGGUCUUUGGUCAUCAGCUUUGCUGCGUUCCAUCCCGCUUCAUCAGCACACAGACUCUGACACACAUGGUUGUGGAAAUGCAGUAAACAGCCGAGGCUUUGGGAGAAGACUCAUGAGCACUAAUGGAUGGUUUUAACCAAAAUGGAAGCGCAUUGUAUAGACUGUAAUUGCUUAUUGUCUCCAUGAGGACAACUUGGCAUUGUUUUGAACACAGGGAAAAGACUACACUAAUUCAAGAGGCUUUAAAAAAAGUGUAAACUGAGCAAUGAAUCAUUGAUGAAAAAGCACUGACGGUAGGGGUUUUUGACUGCUCUGCUAACACAGCUGUGUUUAAUUUAAAGUGGGUUUCCACAUUUGAUUAAUACAAGGCAUCAUGUUCUCAUCUUUUAAUGCUUUUUUUUUUUUUUUUAAGAAAGACUAAUCAAAGGGGUAAGAUGGUGUAAAUGUGCCUCAGUGGAGCAGAACAUUUAUGAAAGGAGUCACUGAGCUAUCCUGUGUACCUGUCAGUAAUGAGGAAUCUGCUUCAUCAAGUCAGCAACUGGAAGAUUGUUUGAAGCCUGUGAGAAGUAGCCAGUGGAAAACAAACUAUCCCCCCAGCCAAUGACUCUUUGUGAAGAUUUUUUUGUUUUUGUUUGGUUGUGUUUUUUUUUCAUCUUCUUCUUUUUCUCUAAGUUGCUUCUAGUUGCAACCAAACCUUGGAUGUCAACUUUGUAAUUUGAAGUUUGAGAGCGCAACCAGAAGCAAAUAAAGGGGAAAAAAGAAAAAGCUCCUUCUAAAGGGUUAAAAUGUAAUUUUCUGAGAUUAUAAUGUUGUUAAUGUUGUACUUUAUUAAUAUGUGUUCCUGCCAUUUUCAACACCAAAUACCAAAGAGCCAAAUUGAGCUUUUUCAGGCCUUUGGCUCUCCCAAACUUGGAUUGUUACAGAUCCAGGAUUUGCUCUAGUAAAAAGGAAAUCCACAAAAAUAUAUAACGAAGCCUCAAUUCCCCCUCACAUCCAGCAGUGCUCUCCUACCGAAUUGGCUUUUUUCUUCUUCUUCCAUGUGUGUAAUGUGUACGUCUUUGUGAACAAACAGUGAUGCAAGGACAGUCUUUGUCGGGAAGAUCCUGUCUGUAAGAUGACUUUGAGCACUGCUUUCAUUCAACGACUCAUGUUGGAAAAACAUGCUACACUCCCCUUAAAAAUAGUCCACCUGUCUCUCCCCCCUUGAAGAGACUGCUGUUGUUGCCGUGCGCGUUUCCCCAAGUGUGCUUGUGUUUCACCCGUUCUGAGUUCUUUAUAUUUCAGAUGCAUCCGAGUUGUGCAUUGUUUGUUUCGACCUUCUUUCUACACAGGAAAUGGUAAUUUUCUAUUGUACAUUUCUGCUCUCCCCCCCUUGAAUUUGUUGAUAUUUAGUAAGCAGCUGUAUUCUUUGUUCACUUUCAACAGUAUGUUUUAUAAUGAAAAUAACUUUAUUGGUGAGCAAUAUGAAUUGGUCAAAUUAAAAUAUUCAUCAAUCACU